rnacentral:rRNA from 1 species
UGGGGAAUAUUGGACAAUGGGCGCAGGCCUGAUCCAGCCAUGCCGCGUGAGUGAUGAAGGCCUUAGGGUUGUAAAGCUCUUUCGCCGGUGAAGAUAAUGACGGUAACCGGAGAAGAAGCCCCGGCUAACUUCGUGCCAGCAGCCGCGGUAAUACGAAAGGGGGCUAGCGUUGCUCGGAAAUCACUGGGCGUAAAGCGCACGUAGGCGGAUCGUUAAGUCAGGGGUGAAAAUCCUGGAGCUCAAACUCCAGAAACUGCCCUUGAUACUGGCGAAUCUCGAGUUCGAGAGAGGUUGGUGGAAACUCCGAGUGUAGAGGUGAAAAUUCGUAGAUAUUCGGAAGAACACCAGUGGCGAAGGCGGCCAACUGGCUCGAAUACUGACGCUGAGGUGCGAAAGCGUGGGGAGCAAAACAGGAUUAGAUACCCUGGUAGUCCACGCCGUAAAACGAU